UACGUAGGGGGCAAGCGUUGUCCGGAAUCAUUGGGCGUAAAGCGCGUGUAGGCGGCCCGAUUAGUCCGCUGUGAAAGUCCAGGGCUCAACCCUGGGAUGCCGGUGGAUACUGUCGGGCUCGAGUCCGGAAGAGGCGAGUGGAAUUCCUGGUGUAGCGGUGAAAUGCGCAGAUAUCAGGAGGAACACCAAUGGCGAAGGCAGCUCGCUGGGACGGUACUGACACUGAGACGCGAAAGCGUGGGGAGCAAACAGG
rnacentral:rRNA from 1 species